rnacentral:rRNA from 1 species
AUGAACCUGAGAGUUUGAUCCUGGCUCAGAGCGAACGCUGGCGGAAUGCUUAACACAUGCAAGUCGCACGGGGGCUUCGGCUCUAGUGGCGGACGGG